CUAGAUGAGAAUUUGAGGAUUUAUUUAAAAUUUUCAAGUAAAACCUAUAUAGUUUGCUAUUCAAAUGAGAAUAGAGAAAAUAUGGGAUUACAAAAUUCCUAAACCCUAGAAAUGAAUUAAUAUGUACUUGGAGGAAUAUCAAGAAUAAGGUAUUACGAUACCUGUAAGUUCGAUGUGAACUGAAUAGUCUAAGAAAUGUUAUAUAAGUACAUAUGGAAAUUUUAUUAUUGGAAAUAAGAUUUCACAUGAAGAGAUGCUAUGUGCUAUAUAUAUAUAUAUUUUAGCAAGAGGAAUGAUGAAUCAAGUUAAUGAUCAAGAUAAAACUAUGUUAGUAAUUAACAUAGCUUGAGUGUUGGCCUUGAUUGGCAAAUAAGAAUUUAAAUAAGUAUAAAGUCGUUAGUUAAUACGAUUAGCAAUGAGAAG
rnacentral:lncRNA from 1 species